rnacentral:tRNA from 1 species
GCCCGGGUGGCGGAACUGGUAGACGCAGGGGACUUAAAAUCCCCUGGGGUUACGCCCCGUGCCGGUUCGAGUCCGGCCCCGGGCACCA